GUUAACGUUAAGGGCAGCUCGUGGUGCCACCAUCAGUGGCGUUCUUGGCCAUUGUUGCUUGCUGCUGUUGUCAUUGGAUUUUCGUUUUUCUUUUUGCAAAUGCAUUAAGCGUAGACGUCCCGGCGUGUGCUGCUCAGGCAAGAAUGACGACAACUACCAUGAUGAUGAAGGAGGACAUCAGUGACAGCUACAUGUAGGUAAAAAGAUAACAAUCACCCCCAAAACGGAAAAAAUGAAACGAAACCCUGACAAGGUUAUGGAAAUUAGAGCCCGCAAUACAAAGCCACGACCAACAAAACAAGGACAAUAGAAAAUUGCCAAUUAUGAUGUGUGAUACAGGGAUUUACUAUUAGUCUCUUCAUUAUUUUGUUUUUUAUUUAUUUAUAUACGACGCAUGCUUGCAAAUACAGAUAAAAUCGAUAGAACUCCUUUGAAA